UACAGAGGUGGCAAGCGUUGUUCGGAAUUCCUGGGCGUAAAGGGCGCGUAGGCGGUUCGUUAAGUCCUGUGUGAAAUCCCCCGGCUCAACUGGGGAACUGCACAGGAAACUAGCGGGCUUGAGUUCGGGAGAGGGAAGCGGAAUUCCGGGUGUAGCGGUGAAAUGCGUAGAUAUCAGGAGGAACACCGGUGGCGAAGGCGGAUCUCUGGGCCUUACCUGACGCUGAGGCGCGAAAGCUAGGGGAGCAAACAGG
rnacentral:rRNA from 1 species